GAUGAACGCUGGCGGCGUGCCUAAUACAUGCAAGUCGAGCGAACGGACGAGAAGCUUGCUUCUCUGAUGUUAGCGGCGGACGGGUGAGUAACACGUGGAUAACCUACCUAUAAGACUGGGAUAACUUCGGGAAACCGGAGCUAAUACCGGAUAAUAUUUUGAACCGCAUGGUUCAAAAGUGAAAGACGGUCUUGCUGUCACUUAUAGAUGGAUCCGCGCUGCAUUAGCUAGUUGGUAAGGUAACGGCUUACCAAGGCAACGAUGCAUAGCCGACCUGAGAGGGUGAUAGGCCACACGGGAACUGAGACACGGUCCAGACUCCUACGGGAGGCAGCAGUAGGGAAUCUUCCGCAAUGGGCGAAAGCCUGACGGAGCAACGCCGCGUGAGUGAUGAAGGUCUUCGGAUCGUAAAACUCUGUUAUUAGGGAAGAACAUAUGUGUAAGUAACUGUGCACAUCUUGACGGUACCUAAUCAGAAAGCCACGGCUAACUACGUG
rnacentral:rRNA from 1 species